UGUUCCCGAAUGUAUUGUGUUUCCAAGGAAGUGAUAGAGGGGACCCAAACUCCCAGCUAAGUCUUGAACAAGGACCUAGUGGCAGCUGUUCUCAAGCAAGCCUGACCUGGUCACCCUUAGAUCCGUCCUCAUCUGAGGGUCCAUUCUGUUGACUCUAUAAGCAUUGCUGUCUCAUCCCAUGAGUCUCAGUUUGCCUUUGUUGCAAUGAUGUAACACUACAACCAAAAGCAACUUGUGGAGGAAAGGGUGUAGUUCACCUUACAGAAUGCUGCUUACUGGCUUGCUCCCCAUGGCUUGCUCAGCCUGCUUUCUUCCCUAUCUCAGGACCAUGGACACUUGGUGACACUGCUCACAGUUGAUUUCUGAUUGCCAUACACAUGCUGUGGUGUACGUGUACUAAGCAACCAAGUGUAAAAAGUAUAGAGGGGAAAAAGUAUGAGCAGAAAAAUAAAGGUAAACACAGAUCCAGAUCAAGAAAUAGGGCCAGAUGGGGAUGACACGGAGAGAGGACAAAUGAAGGGCAGAGUGGGCUGUGAGAAAUGACAGAAAUGAGCACAUUACUUCCACUGAGAAGGGUCAGAUGUCCCGUUAGCAAGAUGAACCUGUGAUCCCCCAGAUACAGAGACCCUACUUUUCUCAGGCUUAAUCACUGUACAAGAUCCUAAACACACUGCCCAGGCCUGUCAUCUUUCUUGGCUUAUUUUUGCAAGUGUCUAAAGACCUACUAAAGACCUGAAGGAUGUCUCUCUGUGGUGGCUUUUUUGCUGUCUUCUGCUUAAUAAUGUAAGAGAUGACCCCCAACUUAGUGGCUCCUACAGCAUAUGGCACUGAUUUAAUUAUAAUUUUCUUGGGUCUCCAGCCUCCCCAUGUGUGUGCAUCCCAGGGAAUUCAAACUCAGUUCCUCCCACUUGUGUGACAAACACUGACCCACUGAGUCAUCUCUUCAGCCUGAUGAGUUUCUGUUUCUGACUUGCCUUAGGCAGGAUUCUCAGAAAUACCAAAUCUAAGGUUCUUAACACAUGAAUGAACCAUGCAGCUAACGGGGUCCCUCAGAGGAUAGAAUCACCAAGAGAGAGGAGGUUUCUGUCACUGAUAGUGACCACCAUCGUUCUUAUCUGCAUUAUUUUUUUUUUCUAGGAUCCUAAGUUUGGCAAAAUGGGACUUAGACUGGAGUCCAAGUUUGAGACGAGUUUCAAGGAAGUGUUUGCUAUUCAGGAAACAAACGAAAAGAGUUGACUGAAAUCAGAGUUGUGGCUGGUGUCCUGGCACAAGCUGCACAUCUGGUCAGGUCUGCCCACCUGCAGCAGCAAUGAGUGUUCUUUACAGACGCCAUCAUUCCCAGACUGUGGGGCUGUGGAAUCCUGGGUGUUCGGCCACACCCCAGAACCCAGAGACCCAACAUACAGACCCCUUGCCGUGUCACAUAAGGCCCAGGUAGAGGGCGGGCUAACAGGUCACCCAAGCCCCGCCCCUCUCCCCCUUCUAAUAUAAGCAAACCCCUUCUGACAUUUUGGGAGAGCGCCACCAUCUAAACCCACCCAUGUCAAUAAAUCUGGACGACUUUAUUUCCA